AUGCACGCUGGCGGCGUGCCUCAUACCUGCAAGUCGAGCGCACGGACGAGAAGCUUGCUUUUCUGAUGUUAGCGGCGGACGGGUGAGUAACACGUGGAUAACCUACCUAUAAGACUGGGAUAACUUCGGGAAACCGGAGCUAAUACCGGAUAAUAUUUUGAACCGCAUGGUUCAAAAGUGAAAGACGGUCUUGCUGUCACUUAUAGAUGGAUCCGCGCUGCAUUAGCUAGUUGGUAAGGUAACGGCUUACCAAGGCAACGAUGCAUAGCCGACCUGAGAGGGUGAUCGGCCACACUGGAACUGAGACACGGUCCAGACUCCUACGGGAGGCAGCAGUAGGGAAUCUUCCGCAAUGGGCGAAAGCCUGACGGAGCAACGCCGCGUGAGUGAUGAAGGUCUUCGGAUCGCAAAACUCUGUUAUUAGGGAAGAACAUAUGUGUAAGUAACUGUGCACAUCUUGACGGUACCUAAUCAGAAAGCCACGGCUAACUACGUG
rnacentral:rRNA from 1 species